UUAAACUUACACAGUAGUGUAUGUCAAUUAUUUCUCAAUAAAACUGGAAACAAAAAUUCAGAUGUUAGUGCUCCACAGCAAUUUGUACAAUUUAGAUUCGAAUGUCAAAGUAAAGACUUAAUUACCAGGCCUAAAACUUCCUUCCCAUAGAUUUUAAGUAAAAUACAUUUCCCUCUGCGUUAUUGUUGCCAUAUACAGAUAUUGUUGCCAUAUACAUAUGCCAUUUCUGCUUUAAUGAACCACAGUGCGGGGUUGGGAGCAGGGUGUGUAUGUGUGUCUUAACCUUAGAAACAAUGUGAAAAUGCAAAGAGAAAAUAGUUAAAAAAAAUAUUUUCCCUAGUUGCCCCUUUCCCCUCAUCCUUUUUCCUCAUCUGGCUUUCUUUUUAGGUUAGGGAGCAGCUAGUGCUGAUUUGGGCUCUGUUACUUCAGCAAUCUUUUUACUUCCCCCGUUUUGUCCUGAAGGAGACCCUGGAUGAACCUCCGGCCCCCAAGGCCAGGACCUUGCACUUCAGGCACCCCUGCCUUUCUGCAUCUAGAACCCAUAACCUUCACUGUUCGUCCCUAACAGGGGCAUGAUCACACUCCUCCGGAAUGCGGCCCAUGGACACUCAGGCUUUGCCUUACUGUCAACCUCCUUGAAGCCUCGGAUGAGCAUGUGUAUUCUCCAUUUCCACUCUGAGGUUUCUUUCUCCAUCAGCCAGUCUCUGCCUGCAAGUGCUUCAGCCAAACACAGCUACAGAGGAGGGGAGGCAAGAUGUGGCGACCCACCCAGAUGGAGGGGCUGCUGCCCACGAACAGGAACAUAUUUGGUUCUCAUCAUCCUUGCUGAUUAGCCAUGAAGUGCCUGUGCAAGCUACGUGAGUGACGGGGAUGCAAGGCAAAUGCGGCAAAGUUUAGCCCAUCAGGUUCCAUAGACAGGUCUCCCUGCGCAGAACACGAGUAACAAGACAGCACUGAAGACUACAGCUGUUCUCUGUGUCACCUCGCCGUACCGCACAGCUGCUCACCAGGGCGUGGCAUGCCGGGGUUUAAGUCUGGUCGCAUUUCCUUGGGGCUCAGUGAAGCCAACCUCUGUCCUUUGGUGAAACCUGAUCAUUCUUAAUCAGGGAUAUGCUGAACUUCUCAGUGCUAAAAUUUUCCAUAAAUUCCAGCUUCUGAUCGCUUCAGAUGUUCCAGUGACUGGCCUCGAGUAAAUGGAAAAUUCCAAUCUGAGCUGGCUCAAGCGUGCCACAGACACAGGCUCACACAUCAUGGCCACUAACGGGACCCUCCACAUAGGAGCAGUGGGAAAACGCAAACUCCCUUUUUGCCAAAGGGGCAAUGGGACAAUUUCCUGAGGUCAAAUCCUCUUUGGAUGUAUGAAAAGAUUAAAUGUGCAGAUAUAUAAAGACUAGAUCUAAUUACCAAGUUUUAAUUACUUGCUCUCCAGUAUGGAUUUAGGUGUUUGAAAAUAGCUACUAACAGCUGCUUUGCCAAGGUUAACCCAGAUAGCAAGAAGACGCCAGCACUGACUGGCCCUGGACAAACCUUCUCACAUCACAGGCUAAGGGAAGUGAUGUUGGAGCAUGGGACACAAAGCAGUAUCUCCUCUCUGUAGCCGUACAUGCGAGAACAGGAUAGGUACUUUCUUCCCUUCCUACCACUCUAAAGAGAAAAGGAUGAAAGUAGUAGACUGUGAGCAAUUUAAAGAAAAAUUAGAAGGUUAAAAGCCCAAAGAAGAUGGAAAACACCAGCAGAAGAGACAGGCAAAGAAUGUUAAUAAAUUGGCUUCAGCUCCAAAAAUACAAAGAAUUUCAAAGGACCCAAAGCAUUGACUUACUUUAUUUUCAUGCCUGGCAUAAGCGGAAAAAAAAAUCAAAUAAACUGGAAAUUGGGAUCUGAAUUCCAGACCCAGUUCUCCUCCUCUCCUUUCUUCAACUAAAAGUAUUGGUCUCAGUUCUAAAAUGAUCCACUAAAGGCAAAAUUCGAUACAAAUUCUCUGCAAGCCUAGGGUGUAUGACUCAGAACUCCUAUUACUCUAAAAUGCUUUUAAAAUAAUGCAGUUACCAAACGGUCUAGAUUUCUCAACAUAAGUUGCAUUAGAUUUUGCAGACAAGUGUUUGAUGAUUAUUUCCAACUUUUUGGGGAAAGUACUAAUACUUGUCCCUUAUUUCUGAACCAAAAGAAGUAAUAAUUAAGUUACAACCCACCAUAUCCUGCAUCCUCUUUAAUAGGGGAAUAAAAAGUGCCAGUCACUGGAGCACCACAGCAGCAAGCUCUGUAAUAUUAUCUCCAGAGGUCGCUGGAGGGCAGUCAGAGCCAUCAUAUUAGAGGACUUCACAGACCCUGCUUUUGGCACCCUUAGCAUAAGGAGAAUGAAAACAGCCACUAUUCUCAGAGAAGGACAGCAAUGGUGACAAGUGGUCACCAUUUUAAGUGUCCAAAGAAAAUGCUGACCCAGAUUCAAUAAAACACAAAUCAAAAUAUACUUCAAUCAUUACAGAGUCUUAAAUCUAGUACUUGGAAGUUCAUAAAAGGUCAUUACAACUGAAAUCUUGUGCAUGGAGAGAAAAUGCUGUAUGUUUAUGUUUUUCUUUUUUUUUUUUAAGAUUUAAAAAUCUAAUUUGGUUUUAAGGAGCUAAAACAUCUAUUGGUAAAAGGGACAAUACAGAUUUGCCACAAUUUCCUAUGCCAUAUGCUUAGGGUAAUGUCUACGGAACUAUCACAAUACAGUAAGAGGCUCUCACCACGUACGUGAUAAAAAAGUCCGGGAACUGCAAGCUUGCCAUCCCACUCUUCCUGAAGCUGGGCCACGGGGCCUGCCCACCAGAGACGGCGGGGGAGACAGGCCUGUGCUCCACGGAGAACCAGGCAGGCGUGCAUGCACACUUGCAGUUUUCUGACCUUUAAACUGAUCAGAAUUCAAAACAGAAGAAGCUGGGCAGAGGGAGGCAGAGGGAAUGAAAGAAGAAAGGCUCUACGCAACCUGCGUUUUCAGGCCGAAUGCAGGAUAUACUUAGGCAGCACGUGGAGUAUCUUUUAACUGUCUUCCAACUUCUGCCGUCACAGACCAUGUUGUCCUGGAGAAAACACGACGUGGAAAACACGCCCUGAGAAGACUCCUGACUGCUGCGCACUUCCCCACCGUGGCUGUCCAAUCACGUCACCAGAAAGGGUCCCAGAAUCAAGAUGUAUUCUUUCUACUAAGCUCAUGCUUAUGGAAAUAGCCAGAUAACUGCCACGAGAUAAUUAUGAUCUGUAGUUAUUAUUGUUGGAGAUCGUCAGGGACCACAGGGAAGAACACAGCUUGAUUUUCAAAGCCUAACCGUGAAGAAGCAAGACAAAGACUUGCUGUGACUAGUUAAAAUGAAUCCACGUGGCACAGACGUCACAAAAGAGAAAUCUCAGAGGGGAAAAAUAUACCCCAGUGGCCUGAAACAGCUCUUCCCAGAUAGAAGUUAUAAGCUCAAAUUGCCUGAUCUUUCAGGAAUCAGAAGGUUGGAUGGGGCCCGAGGCCAGUCAAGUGUCCAGGGCAGAGUGAAGCCUGAAGUCUGCUGCGUGUACCUUUAGGUGUGUCAAGUACACAACUUGCUUCUUUUCGCCCAACGCAUCUUCGGCCCAAACUAUUAAGAUCUUUCCAAUUCCUGGAAUUACCUUCUAAGAUCAGUCUUCUAGGACAGUCAAUAGCUCUAUUUCACCCUGGAGCAUGAGGAUCACAGUGGUAUCUUUCAUUUGUAAAUAAAGGGGGGGGGGAUAUUUUGUAACAAAAAAAGAAAUAGAAGACUACAUUUGAAGGCAUAAUUUUAUCAUGUUCACUAUUAGGAGAAAGGGAAUCGCAAUAUAUCCGUUCUCUUUCUCCUUUUGUUGAAAUCUAAACAGCACCCUACUGUAUGCAAAAGAUUCAGUAAAAGAUUUGUUUAGUACAGCAAAAGGCUGGUAUUGCUAUUAUUCCUGAAUACACGAAGUUUCUUGCCUAUUUUUCAUUUCAAUUGCUAAUUUGUUGAGCACACCCUUUCCACCCACUUUAUAGGAGUUAAAUCUCAGCCAUAGCUCCCUCUUUACCCUGUUGACACAUCCUACCUAAAGACAUAUGCAUAUCACAUUGCUCUACUCACUCUCACAAGAACGUAGGGGCAAAUUAAUCCAAAGCAUAAGGUUGACUGUAAAUCCAAGGGAGUUUACUAUAUACAGCAAACUAUAUGGAUUUACUGUGUGACAUAUCUAUAUGUCAGUGAUUUGUUUAACCUGACACACAUUACUACAUUCUGUUAGCCUGCUAGUAAUAUUACAAACAACAUGUUAC
rnacentral:lncRNA from 1 species